rnacentral:lncRNA from 1 species
UAAGAUGCAAGACCUCCUAGAACAGUUAGGCUUGUUAACUCGAGCUACAGGUCCUGCCAAGAUGCAUAGUUAGAGGAAUUGAAAAUCAGACUGAGGCCUGAAGGUGGAAUCACCAGAGAGGAUUCAACUACAAGUUCGUCAUAAUUCAGGAGCAGAGAUAGCUAAAGGCAAUGCAAGAGGAACUGCUGGAGGAACAAAGCUGUACAAUCGCCUGAUCCGGCUAGGAACGAGACCAGGAAAGGGGAAACUGCCCAACGACGAGGGCACCACGAGCGAGCAUAAGACGACCCAACCGACCCACCUUGCCCGGGAUUGCGCAGGUGUAGGUUCCUUAAUUAGAUUUAUUAUUAUGUUCUUCUUCCUUGGGAUUCUUUCGGGGGAUUGACUCGUUUCCAGCCCUGUUUGCUUUCAUUGGGAUGGGCCUUUCUUUGAUUCUCUUGGCUGGAAUGCACUCACGGGUCUCUCAUCUUCAUCAAAAUUUCAGGUCGCCCCAAACGCAGCUUCAAAAAUCAUUAGAACGUCUAGAGAUUUGGAUUUCCGAAGGAAAAAUUAAAGGCUUAUGUUUUGCUACGAGGAUGAGGUAUUCUCUCU